rnacentral:rRNA from 1 species
UACGUAGGGUGCAAGCGUUGUCCGGAAUUAUUGGGCGUAAAGAGCUCGUAGGCGGUCUGUCGCGUCGGCUGUGAAAACUCGGGGCUCAACUCCGAGCUUGCAGUCGAUACGGGCAGGCUGGAGUUCGGCAGGGGAGACUGGAAUUCCUGGUGUAGCGGUGAAAUGCGCAGAUAUCAGGAGGAACACCGGUGGCGAAGGCGGGUCUCUGGGCCGAUACUGACGCUGAGGAGCGAAAGCGUGGGGAGCGAACAGG